rnacentral:rRNA from 1 species
UGGGGGAUAUUGCACAAUGGGCGCAAGCCUGAUGCAGCGACGCCGCGUGGGGGAUGAAGGCCUUCGGGUUGUAAACUUCUUUUGCUCUGAACAAGGCGCACUUUGGGGUGUGUUGAGUGUAGGGGUUGAUUAGCGCCGGCUAACUACGUGCCAGCAGCCGCGGUAAUACGUAGGGCGCGAGCGUUGUCCGGAAUUAUUGUGCGUAAAGGGCUUGUAGGUGGCUGGUUGCGUCUGUCGUGAAAGCUCAUGGCUUAACUGUGGGUUUGCGGUGGGUACGGGCUGGCUUGAGUGCAGUAGGGGAGGCUGGAAUUCCUGGUGUAGCGGUGGAAUGCGCAGAUAUCAGGAGGAAUACCGGUGGCGAAGGCGGGUCUCUGGGCUGUUACUGACACUGAGGGGCGAAAGCAUGGGGAGCGAACAGG